CCUACGGGAGGCAGCAGUGAGGAAUAUUGGUCAAUGGACGAGAGUCUGAACCAGCCAAGUAGCGUGAAGGAUGACUGCCCUAUGGAUUGUAAACUUCUUUUAUAUGGGAAUAAAAUGUUCCACGUGUGGGAUUUUGUAUGUACCAUAUGAAUAAGGAUCGGCUAACUCCGUGCCAGCAGCCGCGGUAAUACGGAGGAUCCGAGCGUUAUCCGGAUUUAUUGGGUUUAAAGGGAGCGUAGGUGGAUUGUUAAGUCAGUUGUGAAAGUUUGCGGCUCAACCGUAAAAUUGCAGUUGAAACUGGCAGGCUUGAGUACAGUAGAGGUGGGCGGAAUGCGCGGUGUAGCGGUGAAAUGCUUAGAUAUCACGAAGAACUCCGAUUGCGAAGGCAGCUCACUGGACUGCAACUGACACUGAGGCUCGAAAGUGUGGGUAUCAAACAGGAUUAGAUACCCCGGUAGUC
rnacentral:rRNA from 1 species